GAGCAAGAGAGUCAGGUUGAAAAAUACCUCAUGACUGCUUCUUGCAUUGAAGGUUGGCGAAAACAAGUACUAAUGGCGAUUCUCCGUGCCUAUCAAAUAAAUUCAGUUUUGAAUAUGGCCUCGAACAAGUCGCUACAUU